GCCUGGGUGGCUCAGUCGGUUGAGCAUCUGACUUUGGCUCAGGUCAUGAUCUCACGAUUCAUGGGUUCAAGCCCUGCAUCGGGCU
rnacentral:tRNA from 1 species